AUAUCUCUCUGUACGGGAAGGAUGAGAAGCUUCGACUAAGGUUCGAUUCGAGCGUCAGCGAGAAAGCGUUGCCGCAGGCAACGACCCGAAGGGCGAAGCGCGCAGCGCUGAGUCAUCCUUCCCC
rnacentral:sRNA from 3 species